rnacentral:tRNA from 1 species
GAGGGUAUAGCUUAGUGGCAGAGCACAUGCUUAGCAUGCAUGAGGUCCUGGGUUCAAUCCCCAGUACUGCCU